UACGGAGGGGGCCAGCGUUGUUCGGAAUUAUUGGGCGUAAAGGGCGCGUAGGCGGUCGGGUAAGUCUGACGUGAAAUCCCUUGGCUCAACCAAGGAACUGCGUCUUAAACUGCCCGGCUUGAGUCCGGGAGAGGGUAGUGGAAUUCCCAGUGUAGCGGUGAAAUGCGUAGAUAUUGGGAGGAACACCGGUGGCGAAGGCGGCUACCUGGACCGGUACUGACGCUGAGGAGCGAAAGCCAGGGGAGCAAACGGG
rnacentral:rRNA from 1 species